UUGGUAACUCUGGUUUUGGAAUUUCUGGCAGCUCAGGCUUUGGCAAUGUCAUCUCCAGAAGGUCUCUGGACUCGAGCGCCGGUGACAGAGAGAUCAAGAAAAGCAGGAGAAAGGAUGGGUUGAGAUGAUGAGCCAUUCUUGGUGGUGAAGAUGUUUUCAGAAGAACAUAUAUA